CUACGGGUCGCACCAGUGAGGAAUAUUGCACAAUGGGGGGAACCCUGAUGCAGCAACGCCGCGUGGAGGAUGACGCAUUUCGGUGUGUAAACUCCUUUUAUAUGUCAAGAAAAUGACGGUAGCAUAUGAAUAAGCACCGGCUAACUCCGUGCCAGCAGCCGCGGUAAUACGGAGGGUGCAAGCGUUACUCGGAAUCACUGGGCGUAAAGGACGCGUAGGCGGGUUGGAAAGUCAGGUGUGAAAUCCUACAGCUUAACUGUAGAACUGCACUUGAAACUUCUAAUCUAGAGUAUGGGAGGGGGAGAUGGAAUUAGUGGUGUAGGGGUAAAAUCCGUAGAUAUCACUAGGAAUACCUAAAGCGAAGGCGACCUCCUGGAACGUUACUGACGCUAAGGCGUGAAAGCGUGGGGAGCAAACAGGAUUAGAUACCCGGGUAGUC
rnacentral:rRNA from 1 species